rnacentral:rRNA from 1 species
UACGUAGGGGGCGAGCGUUGUCCGGAAUCAUUGGGCGUAAAGGGUUCGUAGGCGGUCUGAUAAGUCAGAUGUGAAAAGAUGUGGCUUAACCAUGUUAAGCAUUUGAAACUGUCAGCCUUGAGUGAAGGAGAGGUAAGUGGAAUUCCUAGUGUAGCGGUGAAAUGCGUAGAUAUUAGGAGGAAUACCAGUAGCGAAGGCGACUUACUGGCCUUUAACUGACGCUGAGGAACGAAAGCGUGGGUAGCAAACAGG